GAUGAACGCUGACAGAAUGCUUAACACAUGCAAGUCUUUGGCGAAUCUGUGCUUGCACAGGCUAGCCAAGGCGGACGGGUGAGUAACGCGUCAAGAACUUGCCCUGCAGACAGGGAUAACAGACGGAAACGACUGAUAACACCUGAUACAGUUGCCGGCACGCAUGUGCCUGGCAAUGAAAAGAGAUGCUGCAGGAGAGCUUUGCGUCCUAUUAGCUUGUUGGUGAGGUGACGGCUCACCAAGGCGAUGAUAGGUAGCCGGCCUGAGAGGGUGAACGGCCACAAGGGGACUGAGAUACGGCCCUUACUCCUACGGGAGGCAGCAGUGGGGAAUAUUGGACAAUGGGGGCAACCCUGAUCCAGCAAUUCUGUGUGCACGAAGAAGGUUUUCGGAUUGUAAAGUGCUUUCAGCAGGGAAGAAGAAAGUGACGGUACCUGCAGAAGAAGCGACGGCUAAAUACGUG
rnacentral:rRNA from 1 species